rnacentral:rRNA from 1 species
GACGAACGCUGGCGGCGUGCCUAAUACAUGCAAGUCGAGCGGGCCUCCGGAGGUGCUUGCACCUCCGGAAGGCCAGCGGCGGACGGGUGAGUAACACGUGGGCAACCUGCCUUUGAGGCCGGGAUAACACCGGGAAACCGGUGCUAAUACCGGAUACGUCCUCUUUCGCGCCUGCGAGAGGGGAGAAAGACGGUCUUUAAGGCCGUCGCUCGAAGAGGGGCCCGCGGCGCAUUAGCUGGUUGGUGGGGUAAGGGCCUACCAAGGCGACGAUGCGUUGCCGACCUGAGAGGGUGAUCGGCCACACUGGGACUGGGACACGGCCCAGACUCCUGCGGGAGGCAGCAGUAGGGAAUCAUCUGCAAUGGGCGAAAGCCUGACGGUGCAACGCCGCGUGAGUGAGGAAGGUUUUCGGAUCGUAAAGCUCUGUUGUGAGGGAAGAACAGCUUCCGGAGGAAAUGCCGGAGGUUUGCCGGUACCUCACCAGAAAGCCCCGGCUAACUACGUGCCAGCAGCCGCAGUAA